UAAUCAGAAGAGCCAGGCACAGUGGGGCAUACCUGUAAUCCCAGCCACUUGGGAGGCUGAGGCAGGAGGAU
rnacentral:miRNA from 1 species